UGAGAAGGCAGCCCAGAGGACCAAGUGGCUGAACAACAUCUGGUCGGCAAACCAGGUUGCGGAGUACAUGAAGGAGAACGCGAUCCAGAGGGCUCAGUGGACCAGACUGACUGAGGCCAAGACAGUCCGAGAUAUUCCAAGAGUAUCGGCUUCUGCUGGAUACUCCAGGCAUGAUUGCUCAGGACUUCUACAUUUUAAACCCGGACUGUUCGGGGAAACUCACUGAUAACUGGAUCGCGGUCUUCAAGGACAAAAAUCGUAGCUUUGCCAGCCCAGAGAGAAGCAGGCCCAAGAUGUGCAGAUACACAAGCUGACACCGCUUUAAGACUUCAGCCAGUGGUCCUCCCAACACCAGUCUACAAGAGGAAGACAUUCCGAACCAGCUUCAAUGAGACCAGAAAGUCCAUUAACUUGCAGCCUUGCAUGCAUUCAACACGCUUUGGAUAAAGGACUUCCACAGGGCGCCAUCUCAAGUUCAUUCAAAGAGGGAAUAGUUCUGAACUGGUUUACAUUUUUUUGUUUUAAUUAUAAUUGUGUUCAUUAUCUUAAACUUCCAUUGGUUAAUCGAUUUCUCAGUUAUCACUUUGCUCAUGUAAAUAGUUCGUAGUUGUCCCUUUAAGGAGCCUAAGGUCAACAUCCCCAUAGUGUCCACAUUUCUCUCAUGUAAAUG